AAAUUCAAGUUAAAAAGUGAUUUAGUCUACAGUUCACGAAAUUCCAAACCCUUGAUACGCCAUGUAACGUUACCAACCAAAACAUGAAUUUAUUUUUCUGGAGAGAAAAUCUGGGGGCUAUUAAUUGUCAUAUUUCAAAUUUUCCUUUCCUAUACAAUGCUCUAUUGAAGUAAAGGAACCAGAAUUACAAAUAUUCUAUGAUGUAGAAAAUAUUAGCAGUCAAAAUCUGUAACGUUACCAACCAUGUAACGUUACCAACCAGGCUUAAGGAUUGUAACGUUACCAACCAUGAUAUUAGUGCCAGGAGAUACUUAUUUGUAAGCCUUAAUCAGAAGAAAGUGAAGUGAUUCUUUAACUAAGACAAGAGAUGGCAGUAUAGAACAUUUAUUAAAGGCAUGUGACAGCCAUGUGACAACCAUUUAAGCAGCAUCAUAUCUGUGUAGAAUCCAUGCAGCAUCACAUUUGGGAAGAGUCAAAUCAUCUUUACUGUAUUAAAACUCUUCUUGAAUCUUUCUCCAUGAAAGCAGUUCUAAUUAGCAAAACUUGUUGAAUCUCAAUCUACUGUCACCCAGUGUCAGCAUCUGGUCAUCAUGCCCAAGUUUACGAAGAAAGAGAAACAAAGGCACUACAUAGAAAAGAUGAAGAGGAUGGGGAAGUAUGAAGAAUACUUGAAGAAAAAAGCAGCAGCCAUGAAGAGGUGCCGGGAGAAGCAAAAGCUGAGAGAGAGGACCUUGCCAAAAUAUGCGAGAAAACAACUGGAAAGGGAGACGAAAGAAGCAACAAAGAAACGAGUAGCAAAGCACAGGAAAUUGAAGAAAGAAAGAAA